rnacentral:lncRNA from 1 species
CAGGUAAUUUUCAAGGGUGUUGCAGGUUAAAGGUGGCGUGUGUCCAGAUUUAACUCGGAAGGGAUGAAUUUCAUCCAAGUUACCAUGAUAUAAGUAACGACAUCUCAUUUUUCUGGCUAAUUCAUCAAAAUCAUGUAAUAAGUCCUGCUUUGCCCUUUUGACCGACGGUGAAGGAAUGAAUUUUAAACCUCUGGAUAAAAC